UCGGGAAUUUUGGGCAAUGGGGGAAACCCUGACCCAGCAACGCCGCGUGAAGGAUGAAGUAUUUCGGUAUGUAAACUUCGAAAGAAUAGGAAGAAUAAAUGACGGUACUAUUUAUAAGGUCCGGCUAACUACGUGCCAGCAGCCGCGGUAAUACAGAGGGUGCAAACGUUGCUCGGAAUCAUUGGGCGUAAAGGGCAGGUAGGUGGUUCGAUAAGUCUGUUGUGGAAGCUCCCGGCUUAACUGGGAGAGGUCAACAGAUACUAUCGAGCUUGAGUGUGGGAGAGGAUAUUGGAAUUCCCGGUGUAGCGGUGAAAUGCGCAGAGUUCGGGAGGAACACCAAUGGCGAAAGCAGAUAUCUGGACCACUACUGACACUAAGCUGCGAAAGCUAGGGGAGCAAACAGGAUUAGAUACCCCCGUAGUCCCUGAGCGGGCUGGCAAGGCGCAU
rnacentral:rRNA from 1 species